rnacentral:lncRNA from 1 species
AUUCAGGAAUCCCGGUGCUCAGAGCUUGUUGUAAAUCUGACUAUCUGAGAUUUUUUUCCCCAAAGUUCUGAAAGGUGACUUCCCAAGGAGCUGGUAUUUCCCAGCUAUCCAGCCAGACAGGCAGAGAUGGACUGUGCAGAAAGAGAGAAAAUGAAUGGAAAAUAAAAACCCUAAACACAGGAGCCUUGAAAACUUGCAGAUGUGCACAAACAAUCCAAGAAUGCAGGUGAGCAGACAUGUGGGUGUUUGUGUAUCCAUAUAUCCACGUAUAUACUUCCAAGAAGAUGAUUUUAGCCAAUUCCAUGAAUUCAGGGCCAGGAUAUGAAAUGCCCUGAACAUUACUUAGCCACGUUGAUCUAGAAAGCUUCAAUCCUUUCAGGUUACAUUUUUUAUGUCAUUGUUGCUAUUGGAAUCUGGUUCCAAAUCUCCUUUUUAAUGGAUUUUCCUCCCCUGUUUAUUGACAAUAUAUUUAUUUUAAGGAGCGUAGUAUAUGAUCACAAACAAUUUGUCCCUCAACAUGAACAGCCACAGGAUUGUGGGGUUGUGACCUCCUUAGCCAGUCUCUGCCAUCCUCUCCAUCAAACAUAUUUGGUAUCAAUCUAAGUUCCAAAUUAAGAGCAAUUUCUUGUUCUCUCUCUGAUGUUAUUUGUCGAGAGCAAAGUGUUCCCUUUAUUUUUCAACAUAACCUUUUAUAAUGCAAAAAUAUUGUCAUUUUCCUUCCACUCUUCCAUUCAGAAUGAUCCUAAUCUACUCUUUCCUGGGUGAGUCUGGCUUCCUAGACCUCUGGUUCUCUUUGCACAUCCACAUGUAAUGACUCCUUGGAUGAAGUGACCAAAAAUGGCAGUUCCCAAAGUUCCUGGUGAAAGAAAUUUGGUCUUUUGUAAAAUUGCUAAAAACCUUGGAAUUUGAAAAAGAAAACCAGAAAUUUCCCUCUUCAACAAAAUUAUAUCAGAGAAGGAAUCAGGGAACUCCUGCAUGUAAAGUAGCCAUGAUAUUUGAUUUCUGAUGCAAAUUUCCAGAAGGACUCCUGGAAAUUGGUGGGAAAGAGGGAGAGCAGUUCUCUUCCAGAGGUCACUUGGAGCUGGAGGCUGAGGAGGACACUCAGCUCAUUUUGGCUCUCACCAUUUCAUAAUUUUAACGUAAGAAAAAUUACAUCCUAAGUGCCUGCUAAUGAGUUAAUGCACCACACACUGGAAACCCAAGAACUGCAGUGUUUGGUGUUAGGAGAGAGCCACAAGUUCAGGCCCCAAACCUCUUUGGCCAUUUUUAGAGGUGCAUUAAUCCACAACUUCCUUUAGGGAUAAGUGAAAUGGGAGUGAGUCAGCUCAUCUUGAACUUCCCAGUGAGCCCAUUUUGGAUGAAAGGUCACCUUCUGUCCUUGGGAGCAAAACAAAAUUGGGGCAAGAGUUGCAAGAGCAGAGCAGACAAUCAUUGCCAUUAUCCUCUCCGUGGCUGGUGAACUCCUUUUUCCAUGAGAUUAAAAUGACUUCAUCUCACUAACUCUUAUCAAUCAGUUCUGUCUCCAUGUCCUAACUGUCCUCGAAGAGGAAAAAUCCUGGAAUCACAGAAUGGUUUGAGUUGGAAGGGACCUUAAAGCCCAUCCAGUGCCACCCUUGCCAUGGGCAGGCACACCUUCAGUGUCUCAGGCUGCUCCAAGCCCCACUGUCCAACCUGGCCUUGGGCACUGCCAGGGAUCCAGGGGCAGCCACAGCUGCUCUGGGAAACUGUGCUAGAGCCUCACCACCCUCACAGCCAGGAAUUCCUUCCCAAAUCCCAUCUAACCCCGCUCUCCUGAAGCCAUUCCCUGUGUCCUGUCCAUCCAUCCCUUCUCCAAAGUCUCUCUCCAUCCUUCCUCCAGCUCCUCCAGGCCACAGUGAGGUCACCCCAAAGCUUCUCCUCUCCAGGCUGGACAACCCCAUCUCUCCCAGCCUUUCCUCCCAGCAGAGCUGCUCCAUCCCUGGGAUCAUCCUGGAGCCUCCUCUGAACCAUGCCAGGGAUCUUUGGAAAAGGAGGAGAGGGGGAAAUGGAGAAGGAACAGCAGUAAACAGAAAAUUCUGGCGCCGCUGGACUGAAGGGAAGUGGCAUCACUGAAAUCACUAAAAGUAGGCUCGAGUCUGAUCUGAAAAGCAAUUUAGAAUAUGAGCUUUUCUUUCCAAAUGAGCAGCAAGUGCCUUCCUUCACCCAGAAUUUGGUGCUUUCUAUUACAUUUUGAAUUGAUUGGCUUUAUGGCCCAGUGCUGGGGAAUUGCCCUAGCAUGAUCUCGUCUGGCUCAUGUUUCUAAUUCUGGCAACUCUAAAUCCAGAUGCCCUGAAAAUCCAGGCUGUUGCUUACAGCACAUACUGGAGGUUAAUCUCCAUUUCUGUGUACCCAGGCAAAAUCCAGGAAUUGGGAUGUAUGGAAGAUUAGCCCACAAGAGUUCCAAGUCCAUGCUCUUCCUCUCUGUGGUCCAUGUUCAGCCUCCUUUAGGACAUUAAAACCUCCACUUCGGCUGCCAGGUGACAAGAGGCCUCUCUACUGAAUAAAAAGGGUUGAAAAGGCUGCAGCACGUUGUGGUGAUGGAGGAAAAGAGGUUGUGGACAGGUGGAGGUCAGACUCUUCUCUCACAUACCAGCUGAUAAAUAGGAAAAAACAGCUUUUCUUUGUGCCAGGAGAGGUUUACAUUGGGUAUUACGGAAAAAUUCUUCACCAAAAGGGUUGUCAAGCGCUGGAAGAGGCUGCUCAGAGGAGUGGUGGGAUCACCAUUCCUGGAGCUGAUUUGAAAACACCUGGAUAUCCAUUAGGGACGUGGUUUGGUGCUGGGUUAAUGGUUGGGCUGGAUGAUCUCAGGGAUCCUUUCCAAGUUAAGAGGUUCCACGAUUCUGGGAUGUGGCUGCAGGAGGGGGGGAAGGGCUGGAGGAGCCCUCUCAGGGCUGGAGGGUGGCUCAGAACUCUCAGCUUGGGUGGGAACACAUCACCCUGGGGGCAUUAUUUUGCCUUGGAUCCCUGCACGAAAUUCCAGCUGCUGCCAGAGGAAUCUGUGCAUUCCCACCCAGGGCUCUGAUCAUCCCAGGAAAGGUUGAGGAGAAGCUCAUGUAGCUCAUAUAUAAGUGGAGUAUGGAGUUGUUUUGGUUUUGUUUUUUUGUUUUUUGGUUUUUUUUUUAUACUGGCUAUAAUAAAUAUCAACACAUUUAGAAAAAAAGAAAAUUGGGCUUAAAGGGAGGAAAAAAGCUACAGCUGAGUGUGGUUCACUAGAAGGAAAUACCCAAGGCUGUUGAAACAUUAGAUAAAAAACUGAUCUUGUAACGUCAGGAAUCAGUGAGGAUAACAACUGUCAAUUUUGUCCAAUAAAACCUCCCUUUUAUUUUGCCUACUUUGCUCUUUUAUUUUUAAUAGCUAUCCAUUAAAAAUAUGGCACCCACAAUUUGCUGGUAUUUGCUGUUCUGUUUUAAUGCUGUCUAUUAGUUCUUCCCUCUCCUUUUAAUAUUUACACAUAUCAUCAAAUGCUGGGCAAAAUUUCUCUGCUGAAAAAAAAGAAAAUCCCACGAGUAUAAAUCAGUCACAAAUAACUUGUUACUGAGGCCAUGGCUGGGCUUUCUGUGCUGCUCCAGUGUCCCACUGAGUUUCAAGUAGCACUUUUAUAUUAGAAAUAAUUCAUGUUAAUGUCAUAUGGUGCAUUAUUAUUUCUUAGCUUCAUCAGAAAAUAGCACAACUGUCCUGCAAAAAAAAAAAAAAAAAAUCAACAGUUAUGCCCUAAUAAAUAACUGAUAAUGAGUGGGCUAAGAAAAAAUUGUGGCUAGGAGCAUCAGUUCGACUUAAGCUACUCCAGCCUGAAGGAUUCCAGCUGGAAAAGCCUAGUUUAAAAUUCUUACACUUCCUCCAUUUCAUGUGCACUCAGCAAUGCUUAUGCAGCUCAAAUAAUCCCUGCCUGUACUGAAUAUAUGGCGUGGCAAAUGCCAGCAGUGUAUGGAAAACAGGAUCCAGCCUCCAGCAGAGCAGCCAGAAUGGGAUGAAGGGACCUGAGCAGCAGCUGAGCCUUGGGCUGAGCUCUGCCAGUGCAAACAGGACCCUCCAGCAGCCAGGAAAGCUCUGCAGUGGCUGGAGGGGGACAGGACAACCCCCUGCAUCCGAUUUCAGAGCCCUCAUAGGGAGGCUGAGCUGUUGAUACAACAGCAUGGGAGGUUGUGGUCCCUAAAACACCCCUGGGACAGUGUGACAGAGAUUUAACAGAAAUAGUGCCCUCCAGAGAAGGGCUAGAGGUAAAUUCCAGCUGAUGAUUCUGUUUCUCUGUCUGUGUUUGCUAAAUUAAUUAAGGAACAGAGAGGGAAUAAGAAAAGUGAAGCCUCAUCAACUGCUUCACUAACUGCUGCACAAAGACUCUCAAUUCUGACUGUCCUCUAUCAACAUUUUCAAAAACACUAACAUGUCUUCUUCUUCUUAAAUAACUUCUAAUAUAGAAUCCCAAGAAUAUUUGAAAGGCUCUCUCCAAAUAAAAGGAAGAGGGGAACCUCAAUAUUGAAUAUGAAGACGCUGUGCAAUAUAGGAAUCUCAUGGGGACAAGGAGAGGAGAUAUCAGGGCAGGGAAGGAGGUUAAGCUGAGCUUUGAGCCCAGUCUAAUGGCAUGAGCCUCUUGCAGCCUGUGCAGCUGGCAGUGUUUCUGCCAAGGGCAGGAGAGCAGGAGAGCUCAGCUCUGUGCUCUGCACAGCUCUGGCCUUCCCUAAAUUCCAGGAUUUCCACUGAGGAACAUGGCAGGGAGAGCCAUGGGAUGUUCCUUCUGAGCUCCUGGAGCAUCUCUCCCUGGAGCAGCGGGCUGGCAGCUCUGCCAGGCAGGAGAUCCCAGCAGGGAUCAAUGAUCCCAUCAGGGAUCAAUGAUCCCAUCAGGGAGCAGCACACCCCGCUGGGAUCUCCCUGCUCCCCUGCCAGCCUGGGCUUCCACAGCUUCUCCUGCUCAGAGCUGGCAGCUGGAGCCCAUCCCUGACUGCCCUGCAGGGUGGCCAGGGCUUUUUGGGCAGAAAUGCAGCUGGAGCUGUGUUCCAGCCCUCCCAACACUCGGACCCAGCACCCCCAAACUCCUCCCGACCUUAACAAACCCAGCGGGCCGGGAAGCAGCUCCCCUUUGCAAUAAUUACAGCAGAGUUUCCCUCCCCCUUGCACUGCCUAUUGCUUUUGUCCUUGCCAUGGGUUGCUGGAGACAGAGGGACUAGUAAAGCUCAGAAUAUUUCUUUCUGGACAGUCAGGGCGAGCUUUGGGAGAAAACUCCCUCUUUUCUCUCCACCGCUGCCACUUGUGCUGGGCAGGGCAGGGAAGGGAAGGGGAUGGUUCCCACUACAGGCUGCCUGGAGCACUCCGUGCCUGCUGAGCAGCGACUGCAGCAGGGGAACGCUCUCCCCUGGUGGAAACAGAGCCUUGUAAGGAUAUUUCUGCAAGGUACAAUAAUUGCUCGAGCAUCCACCUCUAAGUUGGGUCUCCAUUUCAGUAUUUCAGUAUUUCAGGUGCAUUUCAGUAUUUCAGUGCGGACAACUGAGGCUGGAAAGAGGCAGCCAAAGGGCACCUGCCAGUGCCCACCCUGCUGACAGCAUCCCCACAGCUCCAGGAUGGGCUUUGGCAAGGAGAUAGCUCGCUUGCCAAUAAUCAUAAUUAUCAUUAAUAACCGAGUGACGUCCUAAUCUGGGUUACAUCAGCCGUCCCCUUCCCCGGAGCUGCCGCCAGUCACACUCACGCCGAGCAGAGACACGAGGGCCGGGAGCUGCUGUGGCUGGAGGAAGAUGAAGGGGAUGGCCCGAGGUGACUUCUGCCUCCUGGCUGAGGGGACAAGGGGACAUGGCCGGGACAAACCCUGCGAGAGCCGCCUCUCUGUGUGGAUUUGAGUCUCCUCAGCGCUCUGGGAAACUGCGGGGGCAUAAAGGCUGGAAAGGGAGGUGCGGGGCCAUCCCCUCCCUCCUCCUCUCCCGGGGCAUCCCUCGGGGCUGUCCUGUGUCCCAGCCGGGCAGGGGGCACAGGGGUGUCCGUGUGUCCC